UUGAUGCAAGUGAUGAUUGCAUAGUUCAGCAGAACCUCCAUGUAGAACCAAUGCACAAUGUCUUUCGCUCCUAGCUGAUGCAUCAG